rnacentral:rRNA from 1 species
AGCGAACGCUGGCGGCAGGCCUAACACAUGCAAGUCGAACGAACUCUUCGGAGUUAGUGGCGGACGGGUGAGUAACACGUGGGAACGUGCCUUUAGGUUCGGAAUAACUCAGGGAAACUUGUGCUAAUACCGAAUGUGCCCUUCGGGGGAAAGAUUUAUCGCCUUUAGAGCGGCCCGCGUCUGAUUAGCUAGUUGGUGGGGUAAUGGCCCACCAAGGCUACGAUCAGUAGCUGGUCUGAGAGGAUGACCCGCCACAUUGGGACUGAGACACGGCCCAAACUCCUACGGGAGGCAGCAGUGGGGAAUCUUGCGCAAUGGGCGAAAGCCUGACGCAGCCAUGCCGCGUGGAUGAUGAAGGGCUUAGGAUUGUAAAAUCCUUUCACCGGUGAAGACAAUGACUGUAGCCGGAGAAGAAGCCCCGGCUAACUUCGUGCCAGCCGCCGCGGUAAAAC